rnacentral:rRNA from 1 species
UACGGAGGGUGCAAGCGUUAUCCGGAUUCACUGGGUUUAAAGGGUGCGUAGGCGGAUUAGAAAGUCCGUUGUGAAAUCUCUGAGCUUAACUCGGAAAUUGCGGUGGAUACUAUUAAUCUUGAAUACUGUGGAGGUUAGCGGAAUAUGUCAUGUAGCGGUGAAAUGCAUAGAUAUGACAUAGAACACCAAUUGCGAAGGCAGCUGGCUACACAGAUAUUGACGCUGAGGCACGAGAGCGUGGGGAUCAAACAGG